CUGGCCUUAGGGUGACUUUCUGGAGAGGCAAGCAUCUUCAUGUGAGACCUGCCAAAGGGUGUAUACCUUCUCAAAAGACCCUGCAGUUUCUUCUCCAAUGUGGACAACGCUGAGCAUAUGAUCUUUCGGUGUCUAUCUGCACUUUCUUUGACCUGUUCUACUGAGUCUCUCUUAUAAUGAACAGAAUAUGGCAGAAGUCAUAUUUUACCCAAAACUUGAUAACUUCUGAAGGGAAGUCAUAGAAGACAUUGUAGUUUCCUCUUUUUCCACUUCCUGGUAUCACUCACUCUGGAGGAAACAUACAACCUCAUGAAAGACCAUGAGACAGAACGGCCCAGGUGGUCAUUGUUGGUGAAAGCUAAGGAGCAAGUAGGAGUUCUCAAGAUGAAAUGGAUGGUUGUAUCAGAAAGAGGAGCAGCAGAAAGAUGGAGCCUCAUCUGCGC
rnacentral:lncRNA from 10 species